rnacentral:sRNA from 2 species
UUUUAGCCCAGAUGGAAACGGAAACCCCGCAGUGGUGAAAGUUAGUUUUUCUUGGUAUAAAAGAGCGACCAAGGGAAGCUCCUUUUAUGGCUUGGAAAAACAACUUGAACAACGAGGAGUUGCAGUGUACAGCUGGAAUAGCU